rnacentral:rRNA from 1 species
CUACGGAGGGAGCAAGCGUUAUUCGGAAUCACUGGGCGUACAGGACGCGUAGGCGGGUUUGUAAGUCAGGUGUGAAAUCCUACAGCUCAACUGUAGAACUGCACUUGAAACUACAGACCUAGAGUAUGGAAGGGGCAGAUGGAAUUAGUGGUGUAGGGGUAAAAUCCGUAGAUAUCACUAGGAAUACCGAAAGCGAAGGCGAUCUGCUGGGACAUUACUGACGCUGAGGCGUGAAAGCGUGGGGAGCAAACAGGAUUAGAAACCCCAGUAGUCC